rnacentral:rRNA from 1 species
UACGGAGGGGGCUAGCGUUGUUCGGAAUUACUGGGCGUAAAGCGCGCGUAGGCGGCUUUGUAAGUUAGAGGUGAAAGCCCGGAGCUCAACUCCGGAACUGCCUUUAAGACUGCAUCGCUAGAAUUGUGGAGAGGUGAGUGGAAUUCCGAGUGUAGAGGUGAAAUUCGUAGAUAUUCGCAAGAACACCCGUGGCGAAGGCGGCUCUCUGGGACGGUACUGACGCUGAGACGCGAAAGCGUGGGGAGCGAACAGG